rnacentral:tRNA from 1 species
GGGGGUGCAGCUCACUGGUAAGAGCAUGUGCUUGGCAUGCACGAGGUCGUGGGUUCAAUCCCCAGUAUCUCCA